GACAUUCAACCGUAUGAAGCACAAGAACUACUUUCAAUCCUUUUCCAAAACUAAAAUGAAGGAGGCCACACAGGAAAAAAAUGCAUAUGCAAGUGAAUCAAACCGAGCUCCUGCCCAUGUGGUCGACCCCUGGAUGCCUGCGUUAAUGGAGCAGAAGCUGUGCGCUCACCUGAAGGUUGCUGGAGGGGAUCGAUGAGAAUGACAGCUUCCAGAACCGGAGCGCGGCAGGUCCAAAACUCAAGGGGCCAACACGGGAGAUGCAGAGGUUGCCGGCGCCUCUCCGCUCAGUUGUGCUCACGGUCUUCGGCGCUGUCACCGAGAUUGGCAUCUCGCCCUCAUUGCGGUCACUGUCGCUGGUGCGAUGCCCCGUCCUUGGCUACUGUAGAAUUUAAUGAAUUACAUGUAAUUUUUAUUGAGGGGAUAAAUUACAAUGUAAUUUGAAUUAGUAGAUACAGAGAAAUCCAGAUGGAACUGCCCGUAUAAGAUCUUACCUACAGCUGGGGUUAUCAACUUUCCAUGCAUAACAUGAUCAAAACAAAUAUGAUGUAAUCAUGCAUAAGUAUAGAAAAGCCCACCUUUUUAUUCCUUGAAAAAUCAAUUCACAAUUUCACUCGACCAUUUACAUAUGUACAAUUUGCUAUUUUUUGGAAAGGAUGUACAAUUCAUGUUACAUCAAUCAUAUGACAAAAAUGGACCAGAAAAGUAAUUUUGCCUCCAUCACAGGACUUGCUGAACUGCUCUUAUGUUUCUCUUCCUCCUAAUCUUCAGUUAUUUACAAAGGUCUUCCAUCAAUCUAUACAAAACAGAAGGGAUAGCAAAUAAGACCUCAGCUACAUGGCAUCACCAUAAAUCGCAGGUUCUAAUGGGAAGCACUGUAUGCAAUCAAACUACCAUGACAACAUCCUGAUUCCAUGGGGAAAAUGAAUCAAAAGCGCAUACCAAAGCAACAAGUCGGAUCUAGGUAAUUGCUCAUGCGUUGCAACGGGGGCAUAAGCAUAACCAAUUAUACCAAACAUGUACGAAAAGAUGGUCAAGUUCUUUCUUUACCAUUAUAUCACCCUCCUCCUUGUUCUUCUUCCACCCACCAUCGCCAUCUAUCAGUACAAUCUCAUCGCUGCACUCAAUAGCCCAUCCAGCUCAUAUGAUGAAUAGUAUGAAAUAUAAGUAGUUCUCAGUAAAGAAACUUAAUGGCAAGGUACAUCGUGGUAUGAUUCAGACGGAAGGCACACACAUGAGAAACUGUUAAUAUAGAAAGGGAAAACACACGUAAUUUGUCAACAACUGUCAAAAGCUUUGAAGAAAUUAUUAACAACCUAAAAGGCCAUCACCUAUGUAUUCACUUUUUCUUCUGAAGAAAGGGUUGUCAUUGCACACAAAUUGAUGCAGGCAAAGAAAUAUGUAUUUACAAUUUUAUUUUCCUCUACAAAUCCAAGUACACAUCUGCGUGGAAAUAUCAAAAUCAAAUAGCACAGAUAGCUUCAACUAUAGCAUUGCUGGAUGUUGUAAUUCAGCCUUGUUAACACGCAUAUAAUAAAAAUACAAAGGUCUUUACCAUAAUUCCUCCUUGCUACUGGCACCCAAACCGGCAUGGGAAACAACACUUUAAAGCCCACGGCCAUGACACAAAAUCUCCAAGUUGUUUUACACGAACUCGAUCAGAUUGGACAUACGAUUCUCCAAAACAAUGUAUAUUUUCUGUACUCAAUCUAUACCUCUAUACCUAUACUAAUUAUUGACUCCCUACAAAUUCCUACGUUAAUUAGAUUUUAUGAGCAGUUAAUCUAGCGUGGGACCAAAUUAUUACGGUGUUGAUUAACCCUUUAGAAAUUGCUACCAUAGGCAAAGAAAAAAAAACAUCCAGAUCCGUGAUUCUAAAAUAAAGAGAUCUAACCUCCGUGUAUUUCUAGGCACCAUACAAACUCCGUGUAAACUCACCUUUUUUUGCGGGAAAAAACUCACACGUUAAUCCCAACUAGUAUAAUGCCCGUGCGUUUCCACGGGCUUUUGAAAUAUUUUGCUCAUUGCCCCCUACCCGAGUCGCCGCCUCCGCCGCCGGCCAACCCUCUAAACCGUGCCACAAUCUCUAGCGCCCGCGACCUUCCGCACCACAAUCUCAAUGGUUAGCAAUAUUAUGAAGAAAAAAAGAAGAAUCAAGAUGGUUCUCCGAAGAAAUCAUACCAUCUCUUGUUGCACAUCAUGUUCAUGGAUCGUACGCAUGCUCUCUUCUCUCGGCAUCAUUAGCAUAUUUUCAGACUACAAAAUCUAACACUCGUGUUUUGAAUAAUCAGUAGUACAAAUCAAUUUCAAGAACAUGUCAUGGGUGAAUCAUUUGGAUACUAUACUUUAAAAAAUCAUUCAUGCAUGGGAGAGAUUUGGCAGGUUACACCGAAUGCCAUUUAGAAAGCCAUACCAAAUAGAGAGAUCCAAUUUUACUAUAAAAGAACUAUGUUACACACAAAAAAAUGUACUCCCUCCGUCCCAAAAUAAAUGACUCAAAAGUGACUAAACUUUAUACUAAAGUUAGCAUAAAGCUGACUCAUUUUUGAGUCACUUAUUUUGGGACGGAUGGAGUAACUUGUAAGCUCAAUAAUACUACCUUCUACCUCAAGUCUUCACAUUGAUACUGUGGUUCUUGCUUGCGCAUACCAUUUUGACAGCCAUUAAAGGAAGAUUUUUAAAAUAAGGAGCAUGCAAUCUAGGCUGAGGAUUAUAUGUGGUUCAUGAUUCAUCAUCAUCUUUCUUCUGAUGUCAAUCUAGCCAAGACUGAUGGUGGUUUUUGCAUUGUUGAACCUUUAGAUGCACUGGUAAGUGCAUAUAUAAUGAAGCUGCAACAAUACAAAGUUAAAUUGGUUCUUAUAAAAUGAUUAAAUAAUCUACUCAAGGCAUGUUUGAAGAUGAAAAUUAUUUGCAGAAGACCCGUCCGAAUUAAAUUUUGACAUGUUUUGGUCUACAAAAUCUUGUGCACCCAGCCUACAGCAAGCCAAUGCAUCAUAAACCAGCGACAACAGCUCGACAUGUCUGAUGGAAAAUCAACGUAACACCGAAACAGGGCGGUACAGACAAGACAUGAACCACAUCAAUCCCUAAGCAUACUAAGCAAACAGCCAACUCUAAGCAUACUAAGCAAACGUCCGAGCUAAGCAUCAAAGUCAUUUCCCCUAUCGCACAGCCAACUUUACAGUGCCUAAUUAAGUUUUGCAUCUAUCGCACAGCCAACUCUACGGUGCCUAAUUAAGUUUUGCAUACCCUUUGACCCCCAGCGACCAGGAAAAGGAAAGAAAAAACGAAUGAAAGGAGACGAGUGGAGAUCUCGGGGCAAAAAAUUAAAACCUGCUCCAUGUGCCAUUAUUCAACACUUUUUAGUCCUACAUUUGCAAAUGUCAAAAAUAAGAUUACACUGAGUAUUUGCCAACGCCUAGAACCUAGGCGCGCCUUUUUUAACUAUGAUUUUUUUGGACCAUGAAAUUUGGUCGUACCCUAACAAUGUUCGUCAUACCUAUUUCAGCUACGCACUUUCAUUUCAUCAGAUGAAAGUAUUUUUUUUUGGUUGUUCAGAAAGCACAAAUAUUUUUAUUAUGAGGUGUAUUUUAAAUAAAAAUUUGAGAAUAUUUUUAAAAAAUUAUCAUUUUUAUGGUGAUGAACAUUUUUUUGAAAUAUUAUAUUUCAUUUGUAAUUUUUUGAACUGUUUUUUGUGCUUAUACAUCCCACAAGCAGUUAAGCAGGCAACAAUCCGAAGGCCAAAUCGGCAGAGCACUAAGAGCAGCCGUACGAACCGGCCAGUCGUCCAAUUCUCAAUUCUUUAACUUAGCUGACGCCUGACGGCGCUGUCCGAUGACUCCAACCCUCAACUGGUCGGUGGGAGGAGCAGAAUAUAGAAAACAAUUAUGCUUCUCCCCUGCUCGGCUACUCCCGGCCUAGCUGCUGCAACGAACGGUGGCGGCGGCGCCGCGGCCGACGGCACCACCUGGUCCCUGCAGGGCACCAGCCACCAGCAAGCAAGUAUCCAGCCAAAACAAUUAAAAAUCAGUAUAUGAAAUAAUUGGUUGGAAAGGUGAUUAAAAAAUUAGAAUAUAGAAAAAAUAUAUAAUGAAUUAAAAACAUACCCAAAAUUUCAUGUCGAGAUAAUGUUUGUCUAUCAAUUGUUUUGUUUUUUGUGCCAUUUGGAUGUCAUCAAACAUAAUCUUCCGUACGACCAAAUUAAAGCAAUCUCGGUCCAUGCCUCCAUGGGUAAAUCAUCCUUUAGCAUUUGUUGUAUUUUUUUUGAGAGACAAACUAAUUGGAUAUGGCUUUGAACUUGGGAUCCAUACUUUCCUUAUAAUGAUAAAAUAAAGAAAAUAGGUAAGAAAUACAUAUGCCACCUUAUACAUGUCUAUGUGUUUACUGGACAUUCUACUACAAAUUAUCACAAAUCAGUCGGCAUCAACAAGGCAAUUAUGUCACACAGGUAACUACUAACUACAUUUUGGUAGAUGGUAUUAGGCAACCAGCACACAAGUAGAGACAGUACUAAAACCUAUAUGCUCAGAAUUGGAUGAUGAUAUUCUAGAAUUGUUGUUGUCUAUGUAUGAGAAACCAGUAAUAAUAAUAAAUCAACAACAACAGCAGAUGUACGUUGGCGGUUGCUAAGGUGAUAUCUAAAUUACACAACCAACUAUCUUUAGCUUAGAUAUUCACCUAAGAGGGGAAAUCAGGGAUAACCCAUGAAAUACUACUUCAUCCUUAUUCAUACAAACCUGAAAAUGUUGGCAAAAUGUGCUACUCUUGUUACCCCAGAAGUUAUGGUCAUUGACAGAAAACUGACUAAAAGAUCAGUGCCACCUUUUUUGUUCAUUUACUGAAUAAAGUGUAGCAUCUAUGAAUAUUUCAAGCUUGAAUCAAAUAGGGAGAAACAUAACUUACAGUCUGCACGUCGUUAUCAUCGACUGUUACGCAUGUCUGAGAGCCAAACCUCCUUCACCUUCACCUGGGUUCUAUCAGACGCCUUUGGCACCUGCACGCGCACACACAACAGAGACAUCAAAACGAAUUAUCCUACACUUGAACAACAACAUUAUAGUUUGGACGAAAUUCUAUCCAUCGAUGCCAAAGUUCAGUACCAUGCCCACAAAAACAUAAUACAAAAUAUAUGACGCAGGCAAGACGCUGCUGCAGCUGAAGCUGGCAAGAGAAAAUAAUUCUUAUUAAUUAGUGAAGUAAACACAUAUGACUCAGCCAUGCUAAACCAUUAGCAUAAAAUGAACUAUUAGCUAGACUGAUAAACUCAUAUGAUUUUAGUUCUAACUGGUCCCGAAUUUCCAGACAGUUACCUUCGUGUUGUCAAGUGACAUCUCACCUCCAAGGAAAAACUUGUUAGCCUCAUCAUUCCCACUGUAAGCAAGAACCUAUAAAUUAACAGAAUAAAAAUGCAUAAAAAACAGGAGCAAGCACGUUAAAAUGCAAGGCAAAUUGAUGUAUAUAUUUCCUUGCAGCAAAACAACAUGACAAAAUGAUGAAGUAUCACAGUGGCCCAGAUUUUUGCAUUCUUUCUAAAACAGAACAUGGAUCCCUCAUUGCAAGAACUAAAGCGUGGAAGAACUAAAUAAAAGUAGGGGUCACAACAUGUAAAGUGUUUAUCCUCAGCGUGCUAGUAAUCCCAAUUCGGUAGCUACUGUCAGUUUAAUUAUUUGUUUGAAACAUUCUCCCAUGUGGUUGGCUAAUGCUGCCCAGUUCUACUUUUAAGAAAUGGUGGUAAGUUAUGAAAUUUUAAUCCUAGUAGAACGCCCGUGCGUUGCCACGGGCUUUUGAUAAACAACUAAAAUUAAGAUGCUACUCGCAGAACAAUGCCAUCUCAGCUAACUCAUCUUCUUUUUGGACAAUCAGCUAACUGACAUCUUAGUAUCAAACAUAACAAUGUUAUUGACAACUAAAAAAAUUGAUUUUUUUAGUCGGAAUGAGUUCAUGUUUUAUUCAUUCAUCUCAGCACAACCGGAGUCCAAAAAAUGACGCAUACAAUCCGGCAGGUACCUAACCCAAGUUUUACAUAACUUAUUUGCACAACCAUGGUUCGCUAGCAGAUGAGCAGCUCCAUUAGCCAAGCGUCUCACCCAUGCCACCCUAAAUUCCUCCCUUGGUCACAUGCACUAUUUUAGGCCAACUCUAAUGCAUUGACCCAAACGGACACAAAAUUUGUGGGUGCUACUCCAUUUCAAACAAAGAGGUGUUGGUAUAGCCACCGAGGCCGGCCAGGGCAUCCUCCCCCGCCACGUCCUCUGCAUGGCGCCAUAACACAUGGGUGGAGCGCCGCCGUGCCUAGCGUCAGAGGGGCGGCACGAGCAAGCAUUGCAUCGGGGAACCUACAGGCGCCCGCCAUUGCACACUGCAUCGGGGAACCUGCAAGCACCAUUGCAUGCGAUCCAGCCAUCGAGCGCCGCCUAGGUGGGCAACGCUAGAGGGAGUGCCGCCUGGAUGGACGAUGCUCGUGCAUUGCUACGGGUUGAAGCCAAACGCCAGUUGAAACAGAAUAAUAAAAUAUAGACACAAUGAUCAAAUUAUUCUUUUAAUUCAGUAAUAUGUGUUAAGCAUGAUGGCAUCUGGUUUUUGUCAUACAGCGACAAAUACCCGUGCAUUGGUACGUGUCUUCAAUAAAUAAAGCGUUAGUAAGAGAACACAAGUUAUUGUCGGUCUCCUAUCCUCCGUUUUCUUUGUCUAUCACUUGGCUUCCAUUCUCCCUUUCUCUCUCUCCCUCACCACAUGCUCCUUGACACAACAAGCUAUAUUAUUAAGCACAAUCAGAACAGUAUAUUAUUGAUGGUUAAUUGCAGAGUUAAACCGAAUUCAUUUCAAGGCACCUAAACUGAUUUCUAAACCAUCAAAUAUAGAGUUGAUUACAAGGUGAGCAAAACAAAAAACAAAAUCUACCAAGAGAAAAAAAAUCUUAAACCUAAAAGCUAUACAGGAGUAGCUAAAUGUAAGGACAUCAAGACCCAAUUCUUAAAAAGAGAUUUACGAGCUGCAUUUUGGUACCUGUGAGAUCAUAGGAGUAGGCCGUCCAUGCUGGCAGUUUCCGUCCAUGCUGGCAGUUUCAUUUUCAUGGUUGAAGAUCGUCGCAUUGCAUCACUUCAAGAGGUUAUGGGAGAACAUCCGUAGAAUCCCUGAAGCAAUCCCAAGCUCUUGUUAAUGAUGUAGUAGAUCAAGAAAUGAUAUCAGGAAUGGAUAAAAAUAUCGAGCAUCAACUUCUGUAAUAGAAAAAUAUUCCAAAGGAAAGCUCUUAAAAAAUCUUAUUUGCUCACACUAAGAGAUAAAACUAUGUUGAGUUUUGUUACUGUCAAGGUUGACAAUUAUAGACUCAUCAAUAGCAAUACAACAAAGAUUAGCAAAUUCAGUCUUAAUUUAUAGAAGGACAACUGUAAGUCUUGUAUAUAGAAUUCAUUCAACAGGUUUAGGACCCUAAACGUAAGAAAAUGUAUUGGCAUAUCUUUAGCACUAUAAAUGAAGAUAAUUUUAUGGUCUAUUUAUGCCACCUGAUAAAUUAGAAAUGAGCUUCUUACUUGUACCAACCGGAUGUGAACUUUUGUCUAGAAUUUCAGUUAAGCAUGUGCUGUACUUAGUGGAAUAUCAGUGUGAACUCACGCAUGUGUGCGCGCACACACACACAAACACAUACACACAGAAGGAAGCCCUCGUUUGACCCAGAAAGGAAAUCUUGCCCACGCACUCCGCAGGCGAGCUCGUCCAAUCUUGCCGCCACUCCGUCUCCCUGGCUGCAGUUCUACGCCUCCAUCCCUUGCCACUCCACAUCCCCCAUCCCCGAAUCGCUUUCGUCAACAGCCACCCGUCGCCGCCACCAUCGACGAGGUUACCUUCAUCACCGCCACCACAGCACGAUGCCUCGCCAUCAUCUCCAUGCCCCCAUCAGUCGCAUCCACUGAUCAAAUAGUAGGACCUACAAACUGGUUAUACACUCAAAAACUGAGCAGGCAAGAUUGGUGAGAGCCAAACCGGAUUCAAACUCCCAAGCAAAGAAGGGCACCUCUGCAUCAGUUCCAUAGUCACACGAUACGCAACAGAUAGAGAUUUUCCCAUCAGAUGAGUAGACAAUGUUGCGAACCUCCCCAGACCAUUCUGCAAAAUGCCACCCCCUGACGCACCCUGCCAUUUUUCUGCUGGACGCUCCCUUUCCAGCUCGGUUUCUCGCCAUAGCGGUACAUUUCUUGCUGGAGCCCUCCCCUUUAAAACUGGAUGAUGCCCACCUCACCUUCGCCAUGGUGCCCUCUCUGCUUCACAUAAGUAUAUAUUCUGAUUGUUUGAAAUGGACCAAUGAAUAUAUAUUGUUAUAUCGAUGUCGAUGACAUAGUCGCAUAUCUACCUGAACCAACUCAUGAGUUUGUUAUUCUAAAAAAAACAAUCGGAAUAGUUCAGUGCAUGCUUUUGUUAUAUAUUUGUCAUCUUUGCAAUGAUGGAUUUCUUGUUCUUUAUACUGUAACGAAUUUUGAAAUGCAAUGUCUAGUUUUCAAAUAAAGUAAGUUUGUUGACACAUUAACACAAACGCAUAGGUCAGACUGGAGAGACUGGUUAGUGAAAAAGGAAAUGUGGAAUAUGAACAUUAAGGGAGCCAAGCAUGGGGUACUGGGGAGAUGAUCAAACCUGACCUAAACUGUACAGGUAGGAAAAAACAACAAAUAUUACCACAACCACGGUGCAAGGCCAAAGACGAACUAUAAUAAUCAGCAUGACACUACGAAAUACUAUAAUUAGAGAUGAGAUAUAUCUUCGCAGAAUAACAAUCUUUGGCAGUGAGCUCAAUGUCUUUCCCUGUUCUUUCAUCUGGUUUGGCAACCUCGGACAAUGUUCACAUCCUGUGAAGUAGAGGAAAGUCCCAAUCAAUUAGUACAUAUUCCUGUAUUCCAUGAUUAAAUAUGCUAGAGUAUAUAUAUAUAUAUAUAAAUGUUUCCUACAAGCAGUGGUAGUUACCACCACUUGCGUUUUGUAUGUUGUAUGUAGUAUCUAUCGAAACCGAGAGUAUGUACGUGUAGUAUGUAGUAUAUAACAAUGAUUAGGUAGUAUAUAUAUUAAUUUUUAGGUAGUAUGUAUCAUUUUUUGAGUAUGCUCAUUUUUACGUACAAAUAUGUACGUAUUUUACAAAUAUAACAAAAACUAUGGGCUCAUAUGCAAUUUUUUCAUGUAACUUGCUUUGAAAUAUCUUAAAUAUAGUAUAUGAACAUAUUUAAAAUAAUAAAAUAGUAUAUAUAGUACCACAUGGUAGUAUAUGAGACAUGUGGGGUAACUACCACCGGGUGGUAGGAUGGAUUUUCCCUAUAUAUAUAUAUAUAUAUAUAUAUAUAUAUAUAUAUAUAUAUAUAUAUAUAUAUANNNNNNNNNNNNNNNNNNNNNNNNNNNNNNNNNNNNNNNNNNNNNNNNNNNNNNNNNNNNNNNNNNNNNNNNNNNNNNNNNNNNNNNNNNNNNNNNNNNNNNNNNNNNNNNNNNNNNNNNNNNNNNNNNNNNNNNNNNNNNNNNNNNNNNNNNNNNNNNNNNNNNNNNNNNNNNNNNNNNNNNNNNNNNNNNNNNNNNNNNNNNNNNNNNNNNNNNNNNNNNNNNNNNNNNNNNNNNNNNNNNNNNNNNNNNNNNNNNNNNNNNNNNNNNNNNNNNNNNNNNNNNNNNNNNNNNNNNNNNNNNNNNNNNNNNNNNNNNNNNNNNNNNNNNNNNNNNNNNNNNNNNNNNNNNNNNNNNNNNNNNNNNNNNNNNNNNNNNNNNNNNNNNNNNNNNNNNNNNNNNNNNNNNNNNNNNNNNNNNNNNNNNNNNNNNNNNNNNNNNNNNNNNGAUUCCUAUACUGUGAAGUGGAGUACAAGGAGUACAAGUGACAUACCCGCUGGUCAAGAACAGGCCAAGGCAGAAGCUCCCAACCAGGUGCAGAGCAAAAUUCAUCGCUUGGCCAUGGCCCCCGUGCAGAUGGUAAGUGUGGUGUGGGAUAUGCAGCCGCCGCUCGCCUCAAUGGCGAGGUGUCCCACAUUACGGAGCCACGCCAUUGUUCAUGGUCCACUUUCCUCCGCUCUUCGUCCGAUUAUAUUCCACUAAAUAAGCAAGAAGUGAAAUGAGAAUUCACUUCGAGUUAUAAUAUUCCAGAAGUACACAUCUCCAGAUAUUUACAUCGUAGAGGCACACAUAUUUGAGAUGAGACACCAAAUUCCAUAAAGAAAAUAAGGUCUUGUUACCCUUAGAGCUCACUAUACAGAUCAUAAAACUGUAAACUACCCCAAUUUCUCUGCUGCAAUGUGCACAAAAUAUUCAGUUCAGAACUGACAGAUUCCAAUUGUGUCAUGUCCUAGUUCUGGCAACUCUCCUUUUCUUUUCUUCAUUGCCACAACACAUGGCAUUUAUCUUAAUCAUACGAGCACACAUAUCAGUUGUAGAACCAAUGUGUACACAUAUCAGUUUGCCAUGUGAUCUUCUCCACCGGAACCUGAAUGCAUACUUCUCACUGGUGUCUGGUAGCUCUGAACAAACUACACUUUCUCAUCAGAACUCGAAUGUAUACUUCACUCUAAAUUCAGAAAGAUGUACUCAUACCAGAUUAUCAAACACCACGCAUGCAUCAAUCGAGACCACACAUGCACCCAUCAAUUACAUGAGCUAUUCAACUAAUUCUGAAAACUGCACAACUUAAGCGACAGUAUGAGGGAGCAGAAACAAACUUACAACUGUAGAACGGCCGGCUCAUUCCUGAUACAUUUAUGCGCGUGGCCAGCGGAUGCCCGGCUGGAACCUGCCUGGGCAGCCUGGAUCGGGAAGAUGGCUGGUUCUGCUACAGCAGCCACCUGCCGCCGCCGUGCCCUUUAGCCCCAGCAACAGACCUAAGAUGAGUUCGGCGAUAAAGAUGCGGGGUAGACUCAGGCCGCCACUAACGCUUACCCUUGCUCGUCGUCGACCUCCGGCCGCGUCCGCCCUGAGGGCACCGACCUCGCUCCCUCAACCCUUCUAGCCACACGCGCCUACUGCGGCCGCUGCGGGAGAGAAAGGAGACCCCAGGCACGGGAGGGGCGUGGUGACCAAGGGAGUAGGCAGCCGCAGCAGCCAUGAGGGAGGGCUCGUCCUCGUCCACCUGAAGCAGUAGAGACUAGUAGUAUGCCCGUGCGUUGCCACGGGCUUCUGAAAUAUAUUGCUAAAGGUUUAUAAAAUAAUCCAUGGAAAAUAUCACAGAAAGAAACAAUAUAGCAUGAACACAAUUGUAUAAUAAUUGAAGUCUACUUCACUUGUAAUGUAAACUGAUAACAAAAAGGCAAAUUGACGAUGUAUACACAUAAAUCGAUGAUUCAACUAAAAAUAUAUUACAAAUUAUUCAAAUCUACUUGAUGCGCUUAAGAAAUUCUCGCACAAUAUCAAGAAAGUUUUUUCUUCAUUCGUACGAUGCUUGAGCAAGUAUAAUAAAAACUGUUUUCUCAACUCAUAUCCAUCAUGCAAAAACAAUAGUAAAAUGCUCAUGCGUUGCUACGGGCUGCUACAGACAACAAUGCAUAUAAAUGAAUCAGAGAAACAAUUAAAGUUGCAUUCAACGUAUAAGCUUAUUUUUUUCCUCAUACGUCCGAAUGUGUUCGGACAUCAAACGGGCUACUACAACCGUCUUGAUAGUCCGGGUCCCCAAAUCCGGCCCAUAUGUAAGAAAGAAAUGUUGUUAUCUAGACUAUUCGUGAUGUUAUUUUCAACAUGUGAAACCAACGCAAAACCCCACCACCACGACACACCCUCUCCUUUUCUCAUCGGACCCUCCCCUAUCUGCUCUGUUUCCCGCCGUAGUGGGUGACGUCCGCCUCACUUUCACCAUGACACCCUCUCUCCUUCACACCAUACUUCCUCAUAGACCGUUAAGGAGGAGUCCCCCGUAAUGCCUGCCCCGCUCUCCGCCGUUAACGAGGAGUCCUUGCCAACUAUCCCACAGGUGAGGCUUUUCCUGGCCGAACUCCUCUACGGUCUGCCAAAAAAACACACGCAAGCCUUUUCCUUGCAAACCUUCUAAGAUCAGGCGUAAAACUCUUAUAAGAUCAAUCCAAGACCCCUUUCCUCCGCUGCUCUCCCCCAUCCCUCCUGCAUGCAGAGCUAGCUUCUAGGACAGACUAAGAGCUGUAUGUAAACUCAUGUCUACGUAUAGUGCCCAGAUUGGAGAUCGAACAGGGGUCUUCUACUCCGGAGGCAGCGGAGUUUGCGGAGUGCACCGGCGAGCGUGCGGUUUGUUGGCACUCGACGGUGACACAAGGAUGCAUGUGCUGAUGCGCGGUUUUACACUCAAUUGAAUUCAUGAUAGAAUUCUCAGUGGAUCGGAUUGAUCCCUACAAUCAGAAGAACACAAUUGCAUCUUCUUCUUUUGGUGGAUGGAAUUUUCUAUAGAUGCAGUUGUUUCUUCUCCACACAACUUGUAGAUUUAUCAUCCCACCAACAUGUAUCGAUCCAUCAUCCCCGAAGGUAUCUCAUUUGAUUUUCAGAUUAUCCAAUUGGCAUCGGCUAGCGCCAAUGAUGUUGUUGCUGAUGUCACGAGGUUCUGUUUGUGGCUUUGCGAUCAGCUUUUGCACAUUCGGUUCUUAGAUAACGCAAUAUGCGUAGCCUCUACAUCGAGUGACUACAGUGUUGGUUGUGUCAGGCUUUUUCUUGCCGCUAGAUUGCUGAUCCACAAUGAGGCUUCUCCUCUCAUAACGUACUCUGAUUUGUUAGUUAGUUGCUAUGAUCUGAUGGUUAACUCUGAAUUGGUUGCUAUUUGUUCUUUUGUACCAGGGUUGCAAGGUAGAAUUGGAGGAGAAUUUGUGCACCAGCCUCCAACUCCUUGAUGUUGUGCUGAUUAUAUGGAGCACAUAUAUUUGUGAUGAAGUACUCACUCUUGGAAUUUGUUUAGAGGGAAAGGCCUUCUUAUAUAUAGUACAUCUCAUGCCUCGCUAGAUUGGUUUCCAUCUUCAGAGUGAAAAUAUUUCUGGUGUUCCAGUGUUAUAAUGGAGAUAAGGUAUUCUCUUUUUUUCUUGCAAGGGACGAUAGAAGGCAUUCAACGGUUUCUUCUCUCGGGUAAAACACUGCUUCCCUGACAUUGCAUAAUCUGCAGAGAAACAAAUUCAGUGGCCGCCCAUCUUUGGUCAGGUGCUUUCCCUUCUUUGGUCAGAAAUUGCUUAGUGUCUGUUACAUAGUAUUUACAUAAAUCAUAGUAUUUGCAUAGUCAUACUUGCCUUUCUACCAGACCAAUGUUUCUAAGCAAUCUGAAGGUAUUAUCAUCAUUUACUAACAUUAGUGCAUCAAGGGGAGACAUUCUGUACUAUAUAUAUCUUGAGCGGCAACAAACAAUGUAAGUUAUCUAUGGCUUUCAUGUGAACCAUUAUUCCGAGCUCCAUUAGUAAGUUCCGUUAGUUUAUUUCUAAAUAAUUAGAAUGUACACAGCCUUUCCUCCGUCCAUGCUGCUUUUUUCAUCCAGUCUCGGUUAUUCUCCUCGAUUCAGCUGCUGAAAGAAAUACCAGAAUUGAUCUUUUAAUUCUGGUCAUUGGGCACCCUCUAAUUCAGUGGCCGCCCAUCUCUCCUCAAGUGCAUGCUGCCAUCUUUUCUUCCUUGCUAUUUGAUACCAAGCCAGCACCGCUGGUAACAAUAUGUUAAAAAAAAUAUUUAUUUUUCUGAACCAUUUAUAUUUCAACAGUCUGCUUCAGUACUAUUUCAGAUGGUGAAUAAAUUAGUGAAGAACGUUUCUUAUGCAUGUAGGGGGUCACCUGGUAAUUUUCUUAGGAACGCGAUUUUCCUAUUCCACAGUGAAAUCUGAGGAUAUCUUUAAACUACAACAAAUGAACUGGUGAUGCUGACAUUGUGUGACCUCUUACGUUGUCUUUUUGGGCCAUUUACUAGAUGGCACACGCAUUAGCAUCAUUUUUUUUAGUUUAAUAUGCCAGCUGAGACGAGUUUGACUACCUUCUCACAUACUAUUCAGGGCACUGAGUAAUGAAUAAUUGGAUCUGAAAGCUCAUAUAUGAAGCUCCAAUCUUGGUAGUGGCAUAAAUGGAAGAUGAGAUCUAUGAAUAACAAAUCCAAGAAUUACCUGUAGUUUCUAUGAUUUUCAAAGUUUGUAAUCUCUUCAAGAUUUUCAGUCGUUCAAGCUCAGAAAUAAAAUAUAUGUGCACAACAAUUCUGUCAGCUGUUUACACACAAGCCGUAGUUUUGAAGCAAAAAAGUAAGGCAAUAACCGAGCUGAAUGAGCCAAAAAUGACAUGCCAUCGAAAGUUUUUAAGUUAUUGCUACAUCACAUUUUAUGAUUUGGUGUACCUCUGAAUUUGGAUCUAUUUGUUAGCAUUUAUAAAAGAAAAAGAAAAAUUUUCUUUGCCUAUAUUAGCAAUCAUAAAUUUGCAUGUUUCCAACAAAAUAAGUGGUCAAUGUUGUAUUUUUAUAUUUUAUAUCUCUGAAUUUUUUUAUCUAAUAAAUGCAUUAGUAUGUAUAUAUUUAGCUUAUUUAGGAAAGACUAGCCCGUGCGGAUGCACGGGUUGACGACUAGUUCUCCCUAAUUUUGCACAAUUUUAUAAUUACAAAACAAAGGUAUCUCACUGCUGCCUCUGCACCAAAAACGAACAAAGACCGAAUAUGAAUGUUAACUAUCUAGUUGCAAUGUUAGUACCUUGGAGCGCACCUGAAAAUCCCCACUUCACUACUCGGUUGAAGGAACUUCAUCAAUCCAUAUUGCAUUUUAUUUCUAACGAAAAUUUACCUUAUAUAAUGCGAA
rnacentral:lncRNA from 1 species